rnacentral:lncRNA from 1 species
UCCUUUUCCAGUUUUUCUUUUCUGCGUCGCUUUCUUUUUCGGCCUUUGCUUUCCUGAUUUGCUUCCAUUUUCAUUUCACGGUUUUUCUUCUGAAGCUCCAAAAACUUAUUCCAUAUAUUUAAAGGAAUUCCAGCAGGGCACGUUUCAGAUGUGCUUUCUCCAUCCGCCACAGAUGUCAAAACUGAGUUAGUGGUGGCAUUAUUUUCAGGUCCAUUCUCCUGCAAUUCCGGAAGCUGAACUCCUUCUGUGUCUUCUGUUAUGUCUUCCUUCAAACAGGACAUACAUGACUCCUCUUCAUCCUCAGAGCUCAAGUCAACAUCACUUUCACUCAGUCCUGGAGGUAACAGACCACUCCACAUCUUCCUCUUCACGCAAGGCCAAGGCACUGGGAGUCAUUGCACAGAUAUGGGAGUCACGUGAGCACACCUGGCCGCCAUAUUGGCACCUCUGGAACACCCCGCCCGUUGAUUGGGCGCUGCCCCGCAGCCAAUCAGCCGGCGCUUUGCUGCCCUGCUCUCUGCCUCCAUGAGCUCCACGACAAUAGGGCACGGCGUGCAGUAGCGCGGCGCCACGCGAUGCAGUGCAAUGCAGCCUCGCUGCAGCCGCGACAGCUCCACAUUGGUCUCGUGUCCCCAGAUAUGCAAUUUAGGUGUGCUUCUCAGAAUAGCAGCCGUGCUCUCAAGAGAAAGACAGGUCGCUUUCCAGUAUUCAUAGUUGUGGUAGAGGAGCAUGGAAGGUAUUCAAAGCUAAACCUUCUAAUUUGUACAAGUCCCAAAUGUUUGGCAUGGGACAGUGACCAGGGCCUGCAACCUUACUCUUCAUGGAUGAGAAAAUCUUUUUAAAAUUCCUUAAAUUGUCUCAUAUUAAUGCAGUAAAUGGAAAGCCUCAAACGACCUUGUUCCAGCAAAGCUUGAAUUUCCCUUAAACUGCACCAAGAAUGUGAAAAAGGUGCCUGUCUGCCUGAAAAAAAUGUGAAAUGCCUGAAAAAGAUGUGAAAAUGUCACUGUGAGCAGAUUAACACCAUGUGAAGUGACUCUGAGGCCAACAGUAACUCUCUGGAGAGCAUUCGGGAAAGUACAGAACUCAUUUGGAAGUUUGUCCUCUUUGUCCUUUCAGUGUACGUAGGUGAGACGUGAAACAAACGCUUAGUAGAGGCCUGUAUGUGGUUUGACAUGAAACCUCACAUGCAGGGGGUGACAGGAGAGGUGGAACAGAGAAAUAACAAGAAAAGGAUACCAUGAAGACAAAGAGACCUCUGGCACUGAAAUGUGUCUGAAAGAGAGGAGGGCUUGCAGCUGACCGGUUGCAAAGUAGAUCUCAGCCUUGUGCCCUCUGAGAAAGAAAUUGCUGGCACCAAGACACAGCCUACUUGUGGGAAGACGUACAGAUGUGAGGGGAGUGGGAAAGGGGCACGGAUUCCAGGAGGGAUAAAAGCAGACAGCAAGAACUUUGAGUAGGAUCACCUUGGAUCACCGAGAGUAGCAGCUGUGUAUCCAGACUCUCUGAAGGUCAGGUAGCUGUACGGUGGGUGAGCUGGCAGCUGAACUGUGCUACGCAGGUAAGCUUUUUGUUGCCUUCUGCAUGCUUCGUUUUCAUGGGAUUUGGAAUACUUACCUUGAAUGACAGGCUUCGAGGUAGCUGUCUUGUGAGGGAAAACACUUUCUUGAAACUUGUUGAGUAGCAGGCUGCCAGUGCAGAUGCUCCAUUAGCAUGGCAGCCACCUCUCUAAGGAGCAUCUUUGCCCUUUGGGCUGGCUGAGGGCCUACCUGGGAAGGCAGUGGGCAGUUGUGUUGCCACGAUAUGGCACAAAUAACCCUUGAGGCACAGGAGCCAUCAAGCUAAUGAAGUGCAUUAAGGAAAAAGUCUUAACUAUCAAGGGGUGGAUCCACUCCCCCGUGCCACAAACCAGAGGUCACGUGCCUGAGGAAUGUGUAUCCAAAGAUAAUACUACCUUCAGAGAACUCUACUUACAGGUAAGUAACUCUUCUUUAAAGGAGGUAUCUUUGUGUGGCAGACUGUUUAUGGGAGCAAUUUGAAUUGAACUUUAAAUGAAAAAGGCAUAUCUCUGUAAGUGGUAAUAAUUUUAGUCAUCUCGCUGUGGCUAGGGGUUGUGGAAUUCAUUAGCACAGAUUAACAUAUAAAGUGGGUGAGAUAUCUAAUAGCAAACGUAGAGGUUUAGGGACCUUAAUUCAUCACUGAAUGAACAGCGUGUACAGUAUUAGGGACUAUGAAAUUUUUAAUUUACACAAAGUGUCCAAGAAUAUAGGGAAUAAAUUUAAACCCAAAACAGAUAAUGGAGCUGUGCCCUGCCUAGCUGGCAAGUUGAAUUGUUUUUACACUGAGUGAAGAAAGCUAAUUAUCCCAAGCACAAGGAGACUGCUAAAAAUAAUAAGAUUAUAAAGAAUAAUUUGCUGAUAUAAUUACAACAAAAUUGGGUACACACAAUCGUCAGAUACAUGUAUUGCUUGACCUGGGCGAGAAAGUGAAAUAAAUCCUUCCUCUAUAGCCUUCGUAAAUUUGUUUUUAUCAUCUCCAAGUGGUGUUUGCACAGGCAGCACAAUUUGCAUGUGUAAUGUGGCUGUACAAAUUGACAACAAGUAAAUUAUUCAUUUUGAAGAAUCACUGAGACGUGAAGCUCAUACAUCAACCAUUUUCUGACAAUCCUCAGACUUAUUGUCUCCUAAAAUGUCAUUAUGGCUAUUAUUUAUGAAGCUAAUUCAUUUAUUAAUAUAUAUUUAACUCUGACUUGUCAUGCACCUUAGCAGGCAUUCUGCGCACUGCAUAUUUUUGAAUAGAUGAAAGAGUUUUGCAUGCUUUAAUGAUUACUGUAAGCUGCUAUAGAUUUAUAGAAUGCAGCUUUAUUAUCUACUUGCAUUAAUACCUUUUUGUAACUUUUUUUUUUCCUUAAGGCCAUCAAAUAUAAAUGGCAAAUGACAUAUCCAAGAGAUUGUAUAAAAAGAGAUUUUCUCAGAGUUUGUUGAAUUUUAGAACAAAACGAGGUAGCUAACUGUUAAGUCCUAAUUCCUUUUUAAGAGCAUAUAACAGUUGUGUUCAGUUUUUGUGUGUUUUGCUAAAAAUAUAGAAUGAAAUAUAUGAAGGCAGGUGUUUAUUAUACUUUUGUGGACAAGUGGCCACCUUUUGAUUAUACCAACAGGGGGAGUGCCAUUUAGAGGGGGGGGGAAAUGUAGCGGAUGGAAAAUAGAUGUAUUUUUCCAUGGUCUACGUAGAAUAAAGAUAAUUUCACUCAUAUGGAACAGUCCUUAGGAAAUGAACAGCACAGAGCAUGGGUAACGAGGUUGCCUAUGGGUCGUGGAUUUUUUCAACUUGAUUCAGUUAUCUUUAGGGCAUAUUAAAAGACAGAGGGAUCACAGUAACUCUCCUCUGACAUUUGCACAGUGUCAGGAAAUUAAAAAUUGCAUUCUGCUCUGAAAAACAUAUUUGGGGUAGGCCUAAAUUUUAUUACGCACACAGAAUUCAGAUUAAGCUUGUAAUUAUCAUAACAAAUUGACUCAUUUAAAUACAUAGUUAUUAGGAUUGUAUGGUCAAUUCGACUAUUUACAAGUACCUGUGGUCACAAUUUGAGAUGACUGGCCAGUAGUGUAAGAACUUAUUUAGAAGUUAGGAAAUCUUGCUUGUGUUAUUGGUACCGCCCACAGAUUUGGUAGGUCAUAUAGUUUUGUUUCCUCAGUCUUUCCUUCUGUAGGGGUAAAAAAAUUGACAUGCUUCCCAGUAGCAUAAAGGAAUAAUCCAUUAGGGUAAACGAGCUCUGGUAAGAGCUCUUCUUUAGUAUUAAAAUUAGGAACUGUGUUAUUUUUCAACUACUCCCAGGCUAUGCUAGAUAGUAGCAUACUAAUAAUAUUACACCCUGGAAUGGAUAUUCGAUGAAUACAGAGGCAUUUCUUACUGUGCCUCUACCUUAAAAUCUCACACAGCUCUUCAUGAUUGUCUAGAAAACUAUUUCAUUUAAAGCUGAAGGAGAACACAAGGAAGUCCUCAAUACUCUUUUACAAAAACAAGAACCACCACCUCCCUAAGUAGCAUGCAGAUCUUUUGAUAAUGGUAAAUACUAUAGAUUAUCAUAUUGGAAAACUCUCAAUAUUUUGAAUUCUUCGACCUUUUUAGAAUGGUUAUAACAACACAAAAGGAGCAGGCUCAAGUGAUAGAAAUACAGACAUGGUGAGAAACUAAUCUAAACAAGAGCAAAGAAAUUAUACACGUGGUUCUGAGUAUGUGUGGUGAAUAACUAAGGCUUUGCUGUGUCUGAAAUCAGCGAGAAUAAUCAUAUGCUGUGCUUUGGAAAUAGAAGCUUAUGUUUUCAAAAGCAUGCCAUCACUUUUGGUCCUUGCAGUUUCAUUUGCCUGCCUUGAGACAUCUCAGAAGGCAAACUGAGAUGGUCAGCAUUUAUUACUUUUUUUUUUUUUAAACUAGGCCUAGUAAAGUGAUGUCAGUUUACCCUAUACUUCCCCAGAAUGUUUUUAAAUUGACAAAAUACAUUAGUGAGUACGUGCAACUUCAACAUAUCUUAUACCACUUUGAAAUCUUAGGGUAUAAAUAGUGGUUGAUGUUUCAUAUUUCUGAAGACAAAUAGUCUUUGCAGUCAGACCAUCAGUCAUUUGAUAAUCAGUGUCUUCGUAACUUUUAAAUUUGCUCUCAAGUUUCCACUCAGAGAGGUGAAUACAUGAAUUCUUGCAGUUUCACUGAAUAUAGCUAUUUAAACAUAGAAACAGAAAUGAGUGUGACCACUGAAUUUUUUGUUGAAGACUGAUUUCUAGCACAUUUCAUGUUAGUUUACAUUUAAUGAUGCUAUUUAGGUAAUCACUAGAUUACAUGUUAAAAGAGAAAAUCGAGUGUUUCCCAUUUCUAUCUGAAUAUGUUAGAGUCUUUCCAGCUACAGUUUUUCCAAUUAAAGCAUAAUUUGAAGAAAAACUGACAGGAUUGUUUAAAAGGAGCUUUUAUUUUCCUUUCCCAGCAAGAGAUUACAGACUUCUGCAAAGAUACUCUAUGGAAUAUCAAACUGUAGUUCAUGCCACUGCUGCAUACAGUAGUGGAACUACAUUUUUAUUUUAUGAAGAUCAAAAUUAUACCAACUAUGUAAGAUAUUCAUUCAUCUUUAUUCAGUAACCUGUAUAAAUUCAGAGUGUAGAGGGUACAAAUCUGCUUGAUGAUUCUGGACAAAAUUUUUCAGCUGUGAUAUUCUGAGUGGUUCAGCUGUUCAGCUGCAGUAUGAUGUGCUAGGAAAGUGCUCCAUCAGACUGCCUAUGCAGCUCUUGUUGCUGCUCCUGAUGACACUAAUCCAUAUUCCACUUCUAAGUUGGCUGCUUCUCAGGGAAAUGCUGCUGCUUCAACAUCUUUUACUGCUGAUCCAGCUUUACAUUUUUGGAGCAACUCAGGAAUUCUCUCUUCCCCCUUUUAACUAGUGAAAGUAAACACAAUUUACUGUUUCAUAAAACAGAAUUCUUAAACCAUAGUAUCAUUAUCAAUUCUGGCUGUAAUGGCUUGCUCUGUGUUUAAGAUGUCUUAGUGUAGUCUGCAAUAGUCUCGUUGUAACAGGCCAUACAGUUAGACUAAGUGACCAGCUUGGGAUUCUUCCAAUAUCCUGAGACUCUGUAGCUACAACUGCCAACUCAUUUUACCUUAGGCAAUAUGUUAGAAAUACACCAGGUGAUACUCAGAGGACUGCCUAUAGCUAGGUGCCUGAUGAUCCCUUAAAAGCUAAAAUCAGUAAAGGAAUGGUGUGAUGCUGUAGUGUGAUGCUGAAGUGUAGAUGCUACCUACCCUUAAUUCUCUACUUUUAACUACAUCACAUGAAUAUUUUGGAGAACAUUUGAACUCUUAAAGACACUGCACAUAGUUGUUUUGCAGCAGCUUUCAUUUUGAUGCCUAUUGAAGUAUUAUCAUGCAUUAUGCAGUUGAGGGACACUAAACAUUCGAGAUACCACAGGAAUGCAGUAAGAGUUGGAUUGUAAACCUAGUGUUCAAUCUUGACCAAAUUCAAAGUUAGGUAAUUUUGUUUGCCCGUAGACAUAUAACCAACUCUUCACUUCUGUUUUAAACAUUCAUACCAUGUUGGCAAGUACAGAUAGUUUCAGAAAUGAUGGUUGUAAUGGAAGUUGACAUGCCAGGUUUACAAUUAAAUUCACAAAGAAUACUGAGAUUCUUUGGACUAGAUAAGGUAAUCAGAGCGUGUACUGGGAGAUGAAUACUGAAUAUACAGGCUACUGAUUAUUGUUAACAACGUGCAUUUAAAAAAAACAUCCUAACUGGUCUUUUAUUAGACAUAGACACUUCAUGAGAAAGCACCAGUUUAAGUAAAACAGGAAUUGAUUGUUGCAAAUCAAGAAGCAUUUUGCAAAAGUUUUGCUCAUUUGUACACAAUGUGUCAGGCAGAUCAUCAUAACUUAUAGUAAAUCUAUGCUAAAAUAUGAUAUCUCCUUAUUUUUCAACAGUAACUUUUUCAAAUCUUUGGUUUGGCUAGAAAAAAAAAAAAGAUGUGCUACAAUAUGCAGAAUCAUGUUCCCUUCUUAUUAAAAGUUACUUGCCUCUUUACAGUUUACACUGAGUCAUUUUUCAAGAGAAGGAUAUGGUUCAAGAGUUGGAGACAUCAACUCUAUUUUCCCUUAUCUCUUAACAGCGAAUACAGUUGAAGAGCUCAGUAUAUUUUCAUUUCUUUUUUCUUUAAAGCUGCACAACAUGGGUCUGUUUCUUUUUUGCUGAGGAAAUGAAUGUUUUGAUAAGGGCCCAUUUGAAUCAGUGCUGAGCACUCUAAAUUCUAAAUUUAGUGUUCCCACUGUAAAUUCUUACUAUAUCUAGUUACAUAUGUUUCAAAGUGUACAAAAUCUCUAAUCACAUACUUUCUUUAUAUUGAACACUAGGUGCAGCACAGCUUAGUAUCUGAUGUGGAUUUCUCAGUGCUUGUUUUCAAGAUUUGCACCUUCCUUGCUGCCCACUCUUUCAUUAUUGACAGAUAAAGCAGGGUUGAUUCUUCCAACCUGACUGUUUUGGUGUAUGAAUAAAGCAGUCUGGUUUGCAUCAGGCCCUUGAUGAACCUCAGAAAACUGAAGCUGUUUGGCCUGUCCAUUUAGGGUCCCAAAUUGAAUCCAGUGCUGCCAGUCAAGACCAAAGAAUCAAUGCCUCUUUUGAGUUGCUGGCAGUACUUGGCAAAUCAAGUAUUGUUUCCUAAGAGUGCAAAGGUUUUGUUCAACUGGCUUCUGCAUUCUGCAGAUGAUUGGAUCAGAAGGGAGAUCUAUGCAGCUGUGCUUAGUUGGCAGACAGGUGUGUAAUUUUUGCAUUUGCAAGUUAAUCAUCAGCAAUGGGAAAAGGACUCACGUACAACAGUAAACUUGCUGUUCGCACUUUUUCUGCACAUACAAUAUCAAGUUCUGUUCCAUACUGGAAAGCUUGAUUUCCAUUUCUACACUUAUUUCACACACAAUUUCUUACUAGUAAAGAAUUCCUAAAAUAUUUUGUGUUUAUGAGGAUAUAGAGUAAUACACAUUAACUUUUGGAAAUAAUCGAAAAAGUUGAGUAAAUGGGUCACAUGAAGUAAGAAGAGCAGGAUGAAAGUAGCGCUGAGACAGUGAACUCCUUUGUAACUGUAUUAUGAUGAGUAAUAUCAUGUUUCUCUUUCAGUGAGAAACAAUCCAUCUACAUCCAAAACUCUAAAACUCACGUGAAAUUUUCUGGGGUUGUACAAGGAAUUUUACUACUUUACUUCCUUUUUUUUUUUUUUUAAGUAUUUUUGAAUUCUUCAUACUUUUCCAGAUCUGAACUGAUGAGGAAAGAAAGGCAAAAAGAACAAACUGACAGAGCCCAGGCUUUCACUUCCUUAUAUAAAGAAAUAAGAUGUGAUUAAAAAAACCUGUAGGUAUAGAGCAGCUCUCUGAGCAAGUUUGCAGAUAAAAAUCUCUGAGGUGCUCCGCAAUACCUAUAAUUCUUCAUUUAAGGUAGUGUCAAUACUGCACUGACUUUGGUUGUGUAAAAUAAAUGCAAUGCCUGAAGAUUAAUUACAAAAGUCUCCUGCAAACUUCAGUUCCCAAGAAUGGUCUAUUCUAAUAAAUGUGACAGUUCAAAAGGCUUGCAGAAUAGUAGCUGAGAUUUAGCCCACAAUGAGCCAUAGAAGUUGAUGUGUUGUAGGAACUCCUCUUAGAACAGAGCAGUGUCUGGUCUUCUGAAGCACUGGUAUUCUUAUGGAAGCUUAUUUGUCAGUACUCUCUAUAGCUUUUUGGUACUUUAAAUGGGAAGAAUAUAAACAGGAAAGAAUGUUAGAAGAAAAACCUAAUUACCUGUGCAGAAGUCCACACUUCAGAAUAAAAGCAGUUAUCCAUGUCGUCAUCAAAACAUCAGUCACUCUUGGAAGCCAUAUGCACUAUAUUUUUUCUUCCUGAAAGUUACAAAUACACUUUCUUGUGAUACUGAAAUAAAUAUACAUGCUGGGAGCAAGAUGGAUUAGGGAGAAGUGAUCUAUUUAACAGUCGUCUUCUCUGAAUAAUCCAUUCCCUUUUACCAUACACUUGGCUUUGAGUAAUUCACAUAGAAGGUGUUUGGAGAUGGUUGCUAAACUCAAUCCUGCUCCAUACAUUAUUAUUUCAGGACUGUGGUAUUGGGUCUACUAAUCUCAAUAAUAUGUAUGUAUAUAUUUUCUUAAACUUCCAGAAUCAUGUUUCUAAGCAUUUGAAGCAUAGAUCCCAUAGGAUUAUCUAAAUCUGACAUUUAUCUGGGUAAAAGCUAACACAUAAGAUGUCAUAGCUAAUCACAUGUUUUUUAUACUUCCACUUGGAGAAGAAAGAAUACUGGAAGUGACACACUAACAAAUAAUACAUAAUCUGUACACGUGAAGUAAUCUUUACUGCUUUGUUACUUUUUAAAUAUGCUACAUGCACUACUCACAAAUACAGUUAUCUUUGUAGUUUAGAAUCAUGAUAUUUAUUGUAAGUAAUACAAUAAGUAAUUGAUCCCUGAAAUUUUGAUUUGGGAGAAAUUACCUGUUUAAAAUUCCAAGCCAAGCUGUUAGAUUUUUAGUCAUAUGAUGGGACAAAUCUUUGACAAAACUCUUAUUAGUCACAGAAUAUGGGAGUUAGAAGAGUUAUUCUGCUGUGCACAAUAUACUAAAAUGAGCAUUUGCUUUUGAUUUCUUUUAUUACAUUUAAGAAUAUACAUAAUCAUGAGAUUAGAAGAGAAGUCAGACACUGCAAUUCUUAUUUUACAUACCUUCAUAAAAUCUGAGGUCUAGAGGGAACUCAGGAGUUUAUCUUGUUGAUCUUCUCUGACCCACGGGAAGCUUUAGCUGUGUCACCUUCACCUUCUGCACUGCUCUUAAAGGUCUUCAAAGUUUCACAGCAGUCAGACAACCUAUUCCCCCACCUCGGUGUUAAUAUUCAAAAGCUUUCCCUAGCUACUUCACUAAAAUCCUUUAAACUAACAAUUGAACCUGUUCUCUCUUCUACCCAAACUUGAAUCAUAAAACAUUCCAGCUCUCCUUUUUGCCAAGAUAAAACACAAACAAGUGUGUUUGUGGAUAUUUGUGCUUUCUACUUACUAUACAAGUCAGAUUCUGACAUGAAACACCCCACUCAAAUUUUACUAGGAAAAAAAUAUAAAACCAUAACAAUAUGACCAUAACAACAAUAUAAAACCAUUAUAACAAGAUCUGUCCAUUUAUUCUGCUACAGCUGUGCAGGAUAUUUGAGACUUUAAACAAUAUUGUUUCAGACACAUUUCAGUACAUAUUCUAAUCAGAUAUUCUUCAAGUGUCACAAGAUUAUCUAGCUUCUAAAAUGAGUGUUAAAAUAGCCCUUACCUUGCUUGCACACAGUGAAGUCCAACUACAUGUGCUAUUAGUGUAUAGUUAUCAUAAAAAUAAAUUAGCCAGUCUGCAUUUUCAGGUUAAUCUUCAAUUCCAUAAUUGAAUCAGUAAUUACUAUAAGUUAAUAUAAUUAGGUGCUAACACUUAAUUGAGAAUUAUUUAUUCAGGAAUCUUCACUAUUGUAACACUUCUUUUAGUUCCAAAUCAUUUUGAGCAAUAUACUGCAUCAAAUAGGCUUAACCAAAAAAAUGCACAGACAGUACUUGGAAUACUACAGCUUAGUGAUAAAAGUUAGCCUUAAAAUCCUAAAGUUCUUGCUGAAACAAGAGGAGGAAGGGUAUUUUCAGCAGUCCCUUGGAUUCUGCUCAUAGAAGAAGUUCUACCUGAAUAUUUUCAGAUGACUGCACCAAAUUGCAUUGGAAGAAAUUCUAUUGUCUCCAGUGGCUGUUGAUGUGGGUCUCAAGAGGAGAUUUAAUUCUAAAUUACUCUCAGAAGAAUUGAUUAAGAGAAGCGAAUGGCAGUUCCUGAUCAGUAUCUGGUGACUGCAUGCAUACUCCUCAUACCAUAACAUGAAUUUAUUAUCCCAUUUUUUCAGAAAGAGUCUUGGAGCUAUGUUACUGUGUAUCAGUGUCUUGCUAAAGUGCAUAGGUGCUGAGGUUAGUGCAGUUGAAAAGACAGUGGUGCAGCUCAAAGAUCAGAUUUGCUUUAAAUUAAUUUCCGUACUAAUUUACUGAAGAUGCACAAGUUAGGUUCUGUGGCUUUGUCUCUCUUAGCUGCCCUUGAGUAUGGAGGCUCACCUUUUCUGGGCAGUUUGAAAAAGUUAGAUUUCUUCUACCCACAGAAGAAAGUGCUGAGAGUUUGUAUCAAUUCAUCUCUUUAUCUACUGCUCUAGUUAGCUCACUUCAGUGUUAACCAUAGCAUAAGUCAACACGGAAGCUGUGAGGUCUGAUCACAAGUAGAAAGCUAACAUGACCAUAAAUAACACCAUGGAAAGCAUAACAAAAACAGCAGAGCAGCAAGAUCCCAGGCUGCAGCAAAUGAGAAUUCACUCAAAUGCAAUAACAGCAGGCACAAAAAGUAAGGAAAAGAAGCUGUUUAUCUUCAGAAGGCCUCAGAUAUGCAGGGAUCUCCAGCAAAAUAUUCUCAUCCCCCUUGCCAACCCUUAAAUGAGGUCUGGGAAAGGGUGGAUCCUAGCUCCACCCCUUCCAGUCACUCAGGUACAUUGCAUGCACCUGAGCUCCCCUGGGUUGGAUCUGCCUUUCCACCAGGUGCUCAAUCACUGUUUUAGGCUGUGACAGCGUUUUCCACUACACCAUAUUUUAAGACAAUAUGUCUGUUCUUUUCAAACUCAAUAUACAAAGCUAAAAGAGAUACAGAAUAAUUGGAAAAGUCUUCUGAUCUUUUGGCUUUGGUCAGGUCAGAAGAAGAAAGUGUGGCAAAACAUAUAAAGCAAUUUAUGUGAUACAUCCAAAUUUUUCACUGCUGGUUCAAUGUAAAUUCAACAUCUGAUCAAGGUGUAUCACGUUGAUCAGUCACAGUGGUUUCAUUUGUUGAUUUGGUAGAGAAAACAGGCAUUUUUCAAAGUGCUGUGAGCAUUAAACUCUCUCACUCCCAGGAAAGUCAACAUUAAUUGUGCUGUUUGAUCUUAUUCCCGUUUUAUAAAGUAACAAUGAAGUGCAGUAAGUUCAACAGAACUUCAGAAUUACUUUGAUAAAUCUGUCAGAGGAAAAAAUAUUAAAAUCAGUGUACUGAGUAUUUGCUUCUUUUCUUGAAAUAUAAAUUAAUUAUGACUAUAUAAAAACCUUUUACCAUAGCUAAUUAAUCAGAAUCUCCUCAUAAACUAUGUGUCGACAGCACUGUAUGUCUAAUUAUCUUUUCACUUCAGAAUUGUGCGGUUGAAUAAUGAAGAAAACAUUACCUGAUGAAUUCUUUUAUUUUAUGAUGAUAUCUCUAGAGACAGAAAAGACAGAGCAGCUUAAAUGCCAUCUUAAAUUACAUCUUAGCCUUGGCAAGCUUUCAGCUGGUUUUGAUUUGCAUGGAAACCAUUUUUGUAAGACUCAUAUUCUCUGAAAAACAGAACUUAAAGCUAUAACUAGAAUAAAUUAUCUAUAGCUAUUUAGGGCUCUAUUAAAUCUAGAUGCUAGGCACCCUUUUCACAUGCAGAAUGCAAUGGAACAGCUUUUAAUACCCUGUCAACCUGUUCUGUGAAAAGUCGAUUGGGCAGGGAAGGUUUGAUUUGGCUGGUUUUAUUAAAAUAUCUUUCCCCUCCUUAUACCAUCAUGAACCACUCAGCCUAAUUUAAACCAGGUAAAUUCACCAAUCUGUCUUGCAUGUCUACAGAAACAGCUUUUAUUUUUUAAAGUGAUGACAUCUACCCAUAACUAUUGGCAUGCAAGCUCAAGGCAGUUAUUCAUACACUGCUGAUAGGGAAUUGAUCUCUAUAUAAUAUACCAAUAUAAGAAGCACAUUCAUGGAUUGUAUGCAUCCAUGCCUUUCUCUUUUGAUUGCAUCCUCAUCACUGAAAUUAGGGAACAGUUUUGCCCAGGACACAAUGGGAGCGCCAAAUCAAGUAGCGUUAGACUAUGCAUCUCAUUAAUCAAGCUUUUAAAUUUGUUAUGCUUUUAUAAUUUAGAAUAUGUCCACCUGCAGCACUGCGGAAUGUAAUUACCAUCACAUCGCACAGAGAUUCAUAAGAAUGCCUGCUAGUACAGUAAAAUUAUGAUCUGAUCUAGUCUUAUUAAUUAUUUAGUUUAGAGCUUAAUUUGAUCUAACGCCUGGCUUCAAUGCUUGUUUACUGUUCUGCAGACCAGCUAAAAGUAAGGGAGCUUCAGUUGAGUACAGGAGAGAAAAAGGAAGACAGUAAUGAAUGUCUUGAAAGCAGAUACUCAUACAAUUUGAAAGAAAGGCUUCAAAAAAUAUAAAAAGCAUUUUACUCUCUAUUUCACCUCUUGUACUUCCUGGAAACAUUAAUCUAGAUCAUGUUUUAAAAAUAGGAAUGUUGAGCAUUGCACUUCUGUCUGCCAAGUAUCUACUCUGCAAGUUAUUGGGAAAAUCUUCAAUAAUAGAAAGCACUUUUUUUUUGAAGCACCUAGAGGGAAAAUAGCCUUAAGCCAAGACUAAUCCUAGCUCCAAAAUACUGACACUGGCUCCUAUCUCUGUGAAAAGACUAAAGAAACCUCUGAGAAUCGUAUAACUUGUAUACAUCCAAAUAUGCAAUCUGAAAAUAUGUACCUUAAGUUCAGAUAUAGAGCAUGUUAGACAGUCAGCUAUUCUGACCUCCAUGGUUAAUGAAUUCCAUAAGGAGAGAGCAAACACUAAAAAUGCCCUGUAGCUCAAUGUCUUCAGCCAAAAAGAACUAAUCCAAUUGACUGAGACCAAAGAAAACGACUGAGGAUGUAUGGUUCCAGAAUGUCUCUGAGGUAUUCAAAACCAAGUCAAUUUAAGGACUUGUAAGUUAAUAACUAGGACUUUACACAUAAUCCUGUACUUUACAGGUAGCCAGAGAAGGUUUUUUACAACCAGGGUAAUGUGAUUUUCAUGCAUAGUGUCAGUCAAAAUUUCAGCAGCUGAGUUCCAGACUAACUGAAGUUUCUUCAUCAGUGCAAUAGCAAGACCUCAAAAUACCAAUGUGAAAUUGCCUCACCUGGUUCUAGAGCGGAUACAGGCAUGCAAACUUGUACUAGCAAGAGUAGAUACCAUGCUUUUAAUCUAUGUUUCAAAAUAAGUGGAAAUAAAAUACUUAAUAACUAACAAUUUAAUGGUAGAAAACCUUAAUUAUUGUAUGCCAUUUAAUCGUAAGUUCUUACCACUAAAGUACAUGGCAAAACAGUAUAUUAUGGAGCUUUACACUAGAUAAGUUGGAGUCCAUAUUAGGACAAAUGCAUGACAAUUAUUAGUACAUGUUUGUUAGCUGUAGUGGACAUGUAUCGAUGGAAAGGGUGGGAAAGGAUUUUCUGACAGAAAAAAAAUGUCUGUGAUAAAAGAUUGUUUUUUCCUUUUUAUGUUCAACAAAGUUUAACUGGUAUUUCCAGAAACUGGAUCCCCGUUUAGAAUUGACAGAGUGAAGGAUACUGUUUUCAUCUUCAGUGGUUGUUGUAAUGAUGAGCUGUUUGUACCUUAGCAGAUGAUAAAUAGAUACACAGACAUUUAAGCACAAGGCCACCUGAGUUCAUCUUUAUUCUUGCCUUGGCAGAUGAAACUUGCUUUUCAAUAGCUAUCCUCAGAUAUAUUGCUGAAAGUUAAGAUAUGAGAAUCAAUCAUUAGGGAUGAAAGCGCAGGGUAUUUAUAGGAGAAAGAGUUAUUAAAAGAAGAUCAGCAAUGGUUUUACCAAGAAUAAAUCCUGUCAGACAGAAUACGACCGAUUUCUUUGAAGGAAUGACAAAAGAAAUAAAUGAUGGGAACGUGGUGGACAUAAUUUAUGUAGACUUCAGUCAGGGGUGUAGCCAGCAAUUUGAAGUUUGUACACAUCCUGGCUGAUCCCGUGCCCCCUGCCUGCAAUAUCCCCAUAAUCUCCCACAGCAGACAGGCCAUUGCGUAUGAUCACUAAUGCAGCAGGCACACAUAGAUGUAGAUUUGUAUCAGAGCAAUGCUUUCAGAGCCCAGAAAAAAAAAGCUGGCCCCGGGAAAAAAAAGAUUGUAUUUUGAAUGUGCUGCUUAAACUGACAGUUUUAGAAAACGUUUUUGGUAAGACAAAAUCAGAAAUACAGGUGUCAGCAUUAUAAUGGAGGAAUAGCCUUAGUCAAUUAGAAAUGUUGGAGGUUGAGUAAUAUUUCUUUGAACAUCUUUUCUCUGCUAUUUGAAGACUGAAAACCAAAUGUCAAUCUUGGAAAUUUAUCUUUUCUUUUUUCCUAAGUUUUUAGAACUGUCAGAACUCUCCCUCUUUUUUUUCCCAUUUCCAUCACCAAGUCCAUGGUAAGAUUCUCUUUCCAAAGGCCUCCUCCUCUCUGAUUACACCACUCUACUCCAAAUGCAAAGGCUUUCAGUAUUUUUUGCAAGUACUGCAAAUGCAAUGAGUCUGAAAAUCUGUCAACUUUUGAUCUGUCUCCUCUGAAAAAACAGAGUGAUCAUUAUACAAGACUUCAACCACCAUCACUAUACUAUUUCCUUAGGUAAGGCCAGUUUUCAUAUCACUUCUAUAGGUAGAUGUACAGUGGUUAAUUGUAACCUUUUCUGACGGCACCUGCAAAAAGUCUAUUCUUUCUUCAACUUAUCUCAUAUAAUCUGUGAUAUAUUACUGAGUGUUACUGCCUUCAAUAAUAACAAGUCCCUGGCCCAUAUUACUUCCAUUCUCCAUUACAUUUAAUUAAUUACAUGUCAUUCUUCCACAUUUACCUAUAUUCCAAAAUUCUCUUUUUCUUACAACUCUUCCCAAUUCCUCUGGCAAACUUAGUCUUCUAAUUAUUAUUUCUCCUUUUUAAUAAUGUUGCAGCUAAGCUCGAAUUAAAUCUCUGGAUUUGAAGAAUCGUGCACUUACAAUUUGAGUUUAGUUUCAAAUCUGAACUCUGUGGGUAGGAAACCCUUCUACACUGAGAUACUGAGUCCUGAAAGUUUACAUCUGGUUUUGUAUAGCUCACCUUCAUUUCUGAAUGAUAUUGUAUUGGGCACAUAUUUUUUCUUUACAAAUUUAUCUGUAACUGAGUCAAAGAAGAGAAUGGGUUUCUUUGAAGCUGGAUAUAGGUUUAUAAAAUCUGAGCUGCAUGCUUUUUCUAGAUUUUUACCAGUCAUCUCAUGCUACUAAGAUCUGCCACCUGGGAUAUGAUUGAAUGUAAACAUAGAAUACAUUGAGUUGCUUUGGUAACACAUAGCAUGCAGAAGAUCUAGUAAUUUUGCCCUCAAGUAACCAAACACAUGUGCUUUUGAUGCAAAAGCAGUUCUACUCUCGUUGUUUGUAACUUGUUUUGAAUCUAACAUAAGAAGUAAUUUACCUGCAAGAACUUGAUCUGCCCUUUACCGCUUUUUUUCCUAAAGCAUUUUGAGGUAUGAAAGACUGGAACAACAUGGGGAAAAGACAGUCAUAAUAAUCAUUGUUUUUCUUUUUCAGACAUCAUAUUUGUUUGUCUUGUUCCAUUUGUACUAAUGCUCACUGCUAGACAGCCAGGGAGAUUUGUUCAAGUAAGCAUGUAAUCACGUCCUCUAAGAAGUGGUGAACCAGAUUAUCACAAGGCAUGCAAAUGUUUGACAGAUUAUUACUUGCUGCGUGCUUGCAUACAAGAGUCAGACCAAUCUGUUCUCUUUUCUGUGCUAUGUAGGUUCAAAUACUAGCUGCAUUGUUCUUUGUGUCUUAUUAGGUAGGCUACCCUGAAUAGCAAUGUAAUGAUAUAUGGUGGUCUCUCCACCUAAAUUCAAGCAUUGACAUGUACUGAAUGUUCACAGUGAAUAGCAGCAGCUGGGAUUUUUUCGUGAGUUCAUCUUUCUACCAGUUCUAUCCUUCAGGGUGUCAUUAUCAAAGUAGAACAUACUUCUCAACCUCGAACAGUGCGAGUCUUGUGGAAAAAAAAAUAUAGAAGCAGAAAGAUAUGUGAAAUUCUCAUUGAAUUAAUGGGUCUCUUUGAUUUUUGCCCAGGAGAAUACAAAAAUCAAAAAAUUUUUAAGCCAAAAAAAUCUGGCGUCUCCUGGGUAAAAUGUGAGAGUUGAGGAGUAUGACAUAAGCAUUAGUAGCCUUUGUGCCUCUUGAUAGCUCUGCUGAAUCUCCCAAGACUCUAGAAGUUGAUUUGUCAGCUUAACAUUAGCUUCAGCCUUAGCUGCAGCAGUAGCUGUUGUUUCACCUUUAUCAGCAUAAAUGGUACAGCUACUGGAGGGACUGAUGUGGUAAAUCUUUUUGUGACACCAUUUUGUUUUUGCCACUAUCUCUAAUUGGCUUGCUUGUGCACUCUGCAUCCCAAGCUAGAUAGACUGAAAGCUUCAUCACACUUUAAUUAGAAAAGAGCUAUUUUAAAGUUACAGAGUUGACUAAUUUUAUUUGCCAUGUCUCUAAGGGUCACAUUUUUAAACUGGACCACUUAAAAAUGUGAUUGUUAAUAUUUUGCACAGGCUGAAAUCACAAAAUUGCAUUGUAAGCAUCAUAAUUCUACACACUGAAAGAAAUGAUUGCAAGUCUGCUGAUACCAACAAAACAAUGUGGUUUUUGUAAAAAGUCAGAGAUGCCAGUUAAGAUUUACUCUUUAGUUCUUCCACAACUGCCUACAGUUUCCUUAUACCUGAUCAGGUGUGGAUGUCCAGAGUUGACUGGUUAGAUAUAUACCCGCUUGUUGGUAUGACUUCUUCUUUCUUCUUUUUUCUUCUCCUUUUCUCAUUACAUUGACUGAAAUAAAAAUACUGGUUUUUGAUAUAAAGACAGGCAAUAUCUUAACACACUACAGAGAUGUGUGAAAAUUUCUCGGGAAUGUCAGGGCUGUGUCAUGACAAAAGUGAAGCUGAUGAUACUGGACUUUCUGGGCACACGGUUCCCUUUCCAUGUGUCAGCAUGUGGGAGGGAAAGAUCAAGGGGAUCAGCAGAGGCUCAAUUUGGUCCUUGAUAUAUUGCAAUAGCCUUGCCCCAUCUUGUGAGACUACAGGACAGACACCUGUAUCUCUUACCUGCAAAUGACUUUUUUGAUACGUAAUGGUAAGAAACAUCUCUUGCUGCAGAAGGAUUCAGUUGUUUGUGGACUUUCCCAAGUGAGCAGUAUCAUAACUUACACAUUCCCCAGAACAGUUUCUAUGUUUCUGCAUCCUGACUUAGGAGUCUCUGAUGCAGACUGUUCAUUCUGUAUUUAGCUUAUUUUUUCUUCCAAAUAUAAUGUAUUUCCUUUAUACAUUCUAGUACCAGUACAACUUCAGGGACACCUCUGUCUCAGUAUUCCAGGUAGGAAGUAGAGCACAAAGAGUGACAUUACCAAUGAAAAACCUAACUUAUUCAGAUAUGUUAAAUGCCAUCUUUCCAAAAUCGUGGCCUUGCACUUUUCUCCCCUCAGGUGAAAUAAUAAAUGUAGCAUCGAACUCUAUAAUCCAGUUUUUUGAAAAUGAAGCUCUCUGGCCACAUAUCCCCACUGCUGAUGUAAGGUGGUGUUAGUAAGAAGCCACUGUUGACAUGCUCAAAAAAGUAAGAGUUCUGUGAUCUACCUGCAACAAGGGAGGCAGCUCUUUAUUAGUCCCUCUGUGUCUGUGUAGAACUGCAACAUUAAAUUGCCCUUUGAUUUUUAAAGCCUUCAAUUUGUUUGUUUCUUUGGCACAAAGAAACUUCUUAAGCAACAGUUAAUAUAAUCUCUUUUUCUUAUUAUGGUUUUAGAUGCUAUCGAUCACAGUAUCAUUCUUCUUGUAUAAGGAUACAGAGAGGAGCAGGAAAUCUAUCCUCACUCAGUAAUCAGCAGAGAGGGAUUCACCUUGAUUAAAUGUGAACUUAUAUUCUCCACAUCAUUUUUCCCAUCUCUCUUUGUAAGGCUUAAUGUUAACUGAAUCUGGGGCACCAUGAGUUAUUUAAGCAAUUUGUACGACAGUUGAGGCUUUUUAAAAUCUUGUUUUGCUUCAAGGCUGUGUCUGCAUGUUCUUUACAACCUCUAAUUUCUGUCUGUAUUUUUCUCUCCAUUAUUUCCUCCCCCCCCUCUUCCAAAAUACGCAGCACUGUAGAAAAUACUUUGCAACGUACUGUUGAAGCAGCAUCUUUACUAAAACCUGUUUGCUAAAAUGUAUGCACAAAAAAAAAAAUAUUCAAUUUAUAUUAAGAGACAGUUUUGGUGCUCCAGGCACAUGUGUAACCUAGAAGGAUGGACUACCAGGAAAGAUAGAUUGGAGAGUACCAAAAUGACAGGCAGUUAACUGGAUUAAUAAGCAUGUAGUUAUUUCAGAUCUGGAAAAUGAGGAAAGUGAUUCUGUUGGAAGAACUUUUGCUUAACUACAUAGAUCUAUUUGAGAGGAGCAAACUGGUCAGCAACAAGGCACUUCUAUCUGCCAAAAAAAACAACUGCAUCGAAGGCUUGGAUGAUGUUCAAAGGUCAAUUAAACACAAAACACGACCAUAUACGUCCUCUUAGCCUCUGAAACUCAUUUGAUCAAUCGCAAAAAUGCAGACUUCUGUGUUUCUUCUGCGAACCUGUGGACACAUCUUUGUGACAGCUUCUUUAGUGGUUAUGGAAUCUAAACAACGUUGGGUAAUGGCAACAAAAUACAGAAUUUACCCCAGGUGGAGGGAAGGGGGAAUUUGUUUUAUGAUUAGAAUUGAUUAAUAAACAGACUCAAAAUAAUUUGUUAUUUAAUCUGAAUAUAUACUACUGUUAUUUGACUCUGAAAUCUAGUUACAGCAGGGAAUUACAGUGUCUAAGCUUCAGCCAAUUCCCUGGUAUUGAUGGCUGGCUAGAUUGAAAUGAGGCACAAAUUAUUUAGGUUGUUUUGGACUGUAAUGACAGCUUCUAAAGUAGCUUACUUAUUUGAUGAGCCUCUUAGGAUCAAGAGAUUCUUGUAUAGGAGCAGAAGGCAGCAACCCAAGUUUCCUUUUAGAUGAUGGCAAUGGAUAUCGUUCAGUAACAAAGGCUCUAACUUGUGUUUUGGAUGUCUUGGGUUCUAUCUACAAUAUGUCUUCAAAAUAGCCUCGAUAGUCAGUGGUAGUAAAAUGAAGUUCAAACAUAUUUUAACAUCCAGGCCUUGGAGUUUUUGGUGAGUACAUUUUUUAUAUGUAAAUGCUAAUUAUUAUCUAAAGCGUAAAGAACAAACAGUACUUUGAGAUACAUGUGCUUCCAGGAGCAUAGAUCACCAUGUUCAGCAUGGCAAUAGCAGUUAGCCUGGAACUCCUGGCUUUUACCAUUUAUAAAGCACAUCCAGGACUCAUGAAACUUCAUUAGAUGAGUAAUGAUUGGUGUAUGGACAGACAUGCAGUAGUACACUGCUGAGAAACUCUUGUCAAGGUAGAUUUACAGUUUUUCCAUUGAGAAAAAAAUAAUAAGUAUAUACAAUUCGGGUGUAAGAAGAAUAAAAAUUCAUUUUGAAUAUUUUAUUAUACUAGACAUUAAUGUUUUUCAUAUAUAUUUGUAACAAUAUUAGUACUGUAACAGUGUAGAUAUAUAUACAUGAAUAAAUAAAUAUUUAUCUUGUACAUAUUAAAUACUUGUGAGAUUCUUGGAUAUGCAUGCAUGAAAUGGAAAUAGUGGCAAUAUAUAUUAAACAAACACUGACAUUUCUGAAGAGUAAAACUAUUAGAUUAUAGUAAAAGUCUUUGAAAAACAACAAGAGUUCUGUCUUAUGCAUAUUUCAGACACCAGUGCUGCCCUGGUUAUAGUCAUGGAUGGGGGGAGCUGAACCCUUGCAUUUCUGAACAAAAUUUUGUAUAUUUCCUUCCAAGUACAGCUUUCUCAUACACCCUGGAGAAAUAAAGUAUAUGAUCUAAAUUAAGAAUUGGAAAAUAAUGCUGUCUAUAUUAAAAAAUAUUCCUGCUAAUUAAAUUUAGUCUUCUAUAUCUGAGCAAAAACCUGAGCCAGACCAAGAACCUUUGGAGAAACAACAACACAUCUUGAACUGGUUCUAAUUUCCAUUGAAUCUAUAAUCUGGAUGUAUAGAAAUACUUGACUGAAUCUGGCCAAGUACUGUUGCUGUGGUUUUCCAUAUUAGAACAUUCCAUUCUUACUCCCCUUUCUGCUGUACAAUGUAAUGCCUUCUGUUUGGAUGGAAGCUACAUGAUCAGAAAGCAAUCCAUAUUGUGGAUGACAUGUGAAACACAGCUCUACAUAAUGCAUUUGGAUAACCAUUGAUUCCUGAGUUUUUGAGAUAAUUUACUAAAAUUCAAAAACCUUAAAAAAGAUUCUUCUUCCAUAUCAUAAAAAAAAGCAAAAAAAAAAUAAAAAAAAAAGCAGAAAAAGAGUUUUUAUUAAAAUCAGGUUUUUGUAUUUUGGAAAUACAACUGCAUCUGCUUAGGAAAGAAAUAUUAGCAAAUUUUCUCCACCAUCAAAAUGCUAAAAAAUAUUUUUUCUCAUCCUGUCUUUUAGCUUUCUUUGAAGUCACAAUAUUAAACCUCCUUAAAAAUAUUUAUGUGUAUUUAGUUAACAAAAGCUCCUGUAAGUUGAAUCCAUGCUGGCAAAAGGUUCAGGUAAGCUCUCUAUAUAAGCUUACAGACAAUUGUGUAAAUCUUCAGCCAUUAAAGAGAAAGGAGAAAAAAGCCAUCCUCAUUACACUGCUGUCAUUUACUCUUCAUCUCCUGUCCUCUUUAGCAGCAUUAAGAUGGGAUGUAAAUUUGCCAGUUAAUGCUGUUAGAAAAUGGAUGGUUCAAGAAGGGCAGGAAUUAGAGAUCAGUAUUAGGUGCAGAUAAGCUCCUUUUCCUCCGCAGUGGCGGCUGUUUAACAUUCAUGGGAAAAUCAUCAUCAAACAGCGUUAUCACAGCUCUGUUGAUGGCUGAGGAACUUCAUCACUAUGAUAAUUUUUUUUUAUAGCUGUGAGCCAAAAAGCUGCCUUUUAUUUCUGCUGUCUAUAACUGCGAUAGAAGCUUGUUUGUAUGGGUAGGGCAUUGCAAACUCAUAGCUCUUCAGCCAGGUUUGAUUUCUUUCCCCCAUCACUUCCCCCCUCAGCCCCUUGUGUGUGUUGCACUAAACAGUGAUGCUGAUAAAAAAUAAUAAAAAAAAAAAGAGCGCUCAAACAAUCCUUCAAAGAAUAACUGAUAUUUUUAUGAUCAGUAAUUCAAAGUUUGACAAGUGAUGCCAUUCUGUAAUGACACUGUCAUCCAUUUUGCUGUAAGAAAAGAGCAGAGGCUGUAAAGGAAGCAAGCAGGGAAGAAGUGAAUAUCUAAUGUCACGUUAACUUGAUCAGGAAAUGGCUUAAGGAUCAUAACGUAACAUUUUUUUUCCAGUGAGAGACAGGUUUUUUUUUUGCUUCUUUCAUCAUCAGGUGAAGAGGCUCACAGCCUGUUACAUCUUUUUAUCACCUCUGACCCAAGAAGAAAACUAUACUUUUCUGUAUUUUCUCAAAUCUCUUUCAACUUAAAGACAUUUUAGUUCAUUUGUAGUUAUUUUGCAACAACUUACAGUGUCUGAUUUUAAACUCAUCAAAUUUGCUUCAGGACUGAUCUUGAAAUGAUAUUUCUACAACAUACUCAGCCAUCUUCAAAUGUAUCUGAGAUGCAGAUUGAGGCCAUCCUUUGCCUUGUACUUGGGAGAGGGGAAGAUACACAGUUCCAGACUGCAUGCAUUCUUCCAAAGGAGAUAAGGUGCUAUUCAAGGACAUUUUUUAAUUUAUUAAGGUUCUCAGCUUAUGCUUCUUUGCAGCUUUGCCCUCAUUUUUUUGUAGUUUAUCUGCUCUAAAUGACAUUUCUCAUUUUGAAUAUAGCUGGAAAACAUUGUGCUAAACAGCAAUUUUAUAGCCUCCACAGCACCACCUGAUAAUUUUGAUAUUUCCACUUUGAAUUCAGUAUUGAUUUGAUUACGUAGGUAAUUUACUUUUGACACAAGCUCAUUCCUUGUCUUUUCCUGAGCAGGGACUUCCAAUCAUGCCAUGUUGUGCUGAAUUAUGUUUGGAGUUUGCAGAUAAGGACUUUUGUCUACUCAAGACUGAGCUUAGGCCACCAAACUCAUUUCCCAUAGGAGGAGAGUUUGAAUCCAGUCAGAAACCUAAAGGUGAAAGGCUAGUGCUUUGUAAUUUAAAUAUUACCAUAUAAACAUAAGUUUAAGACAGAUACCGUGCGGUUGGGGGAAUACUAGAGUUAUUUUGAGUGAAAUUUCAAGAAGUUCCUCUCUAAAGAAGAAAAGCAGCCCCCAAAUCUGCUGAGUUUCAGAGAUCACGGUUGAGACCCCAAGGUCUCCUUGCUUCUGAGCCAGGCUGCCAGGCCCCUUCUCAGGCUGUCACCUGCGGGAACAGUGCCAGCAGAUCCCUCCUGGGAUGCUGUCCCAGUCCAUCUCUGUGUUACCAGGCCUCUGCCAGAGCAGGGGAUUCCAGAGAGCACGGGACAAAUCUGGCCUUCUUUUGCUGAGCUGCAGGGCAAGGGGACCCUCAGCAUUGCCAGGGUGGCGGUCCAAGGCAUUAUUAUAUUCUUGCCUGACAUUAUUGUACUUGUUCAGGAUCACACAAAGAUGUAGUGAAAAUACAAAGGCAUUCUGUCACUAGACAAGAAGAUAUAGCUAUUCUGUAAAUCCAGCUAACACAACAGUGCUUUCUGUCAAUAGAGUUUAAGACUGGUUUUGCUCUUCUUCGUAGAGAGCACCUUCUGAGUUUCUGAAAAUAAUGAUCACAGUAUUAUUAAAAGAAUUUCUCUGGAACCAUGACAAGUUUCGAGACAAUGAAAGAGUUGUGAAGUGUUGUUUAAUUUUUCGUUUGUUUAACAGGGUAGAAAGGAUUGUUACAGAGACAUUAUCAGUAUCAAGCAAGGUCUUUUUGGAGCUGUUCUGCCAUCAUUACACGCUUCUCCUACUUACGCUUUGUUUUUAUAAGUAGGUAACCCCAUCUAGUUUCAUCAGCAAGGAGUGUAAAAAAUGAAUUUUGCUAGUUUCAUAUUACUGAGCUGGAUUGGGUUUUAUCUUGCAGUAGCCAUACAAUUUUCUUCUCAGAGGAAGCUUGUGUUACUGUAAAAAUGGCCUUAAGAUACUGUGGUAUUGUUUAAAAGACACAUUUCUAGCCCUUUCCAGGCUGUGGAGGCCUAUGAAGCAGACAAAUAUAUUGGGGUAUUUCAGUAACAGUUCAAGAGGCCUUCAUGACCCAUUUACGUGUCCUAUGUUAUAGUCAGUUUUUCCUAGGAAAUCAUAGUUUCUUGUAUGGUUCCUUUUAAAAUAACUUGACUUAAAAAAAAAAAAAAAGAAAGAAAGAAAAUGCCUUGGGUUCAUAAGAACAAAAAGCAAUGAUUGUAAUUUGCCUCUGCCCUUUAGCAAAGCAAUCAGCAAUUUUCUAGUAUUUUACAGUCAUCCAUCUAGCUAUCUAUUCAUCUCAUAAUACCCUUAGUUUUUCUUGGAAAUAUUCAAAUAUAUUAACCUUUUAUUAACUGGUGACCAUUAAAAUCCUUUCUUGUAUUUAUAAUUAGAAAAUUUGUCUCUUUACAUCUUUGUGUGUUAAUUCGCCUUUUUCUGUAAACAAAAAUAUUGUUGUUUUUGCCAUCUCAACUACUUUGACUACCACAUUUGAAGGACGAUACACAUUACCUAGUAUUAGAGUAGCUAAUACUGAGGUAACUAUAGACCUAUUAACCUCCAGCAAAGCUCUUUUUUUGAAUAGUCACAUUAGUCUUAUUAAGAAGUGCAGCUGUGAGGGGGUUUGGAACUGAAAAUUAGGAUUGUUUAGCUUCCCUCUCCUGAGCUAUAUUCUCUAUGGCACCUGGCAUGCAAGGUACUUUUUAAAACCACAGCUCAUCAUUCUAUAUUUUCUGAAGUAUUGUGCAAAGAUAUCUGAUCAAAUUCUGUGCAGUCUAUCUUGGAUUCUGGUAACAACAAAUCUACAACAACAACAGAAUGCUUUGCUGACUAAUUAGCCCUGGCCUAGAUCAAUACUGCAUUGUUGGACAGGCAUAAUCUGUAGUCUUAAAUCUGAUAAUUUCAAAAAUCUACCAUUUCUGUUUUGAAAAGAAAGAGAUAUGUUGUGUCAGUUAUUGCUGUUUGUCCCAUACAUACUAGAAACAUAUUGACUUCUCUUGACUGGAUCUUGAAAAACUGUUACAGGGCAGAUGCAAAAGUGGGCCAGACUGUAUCAGAAAUAGCAAUUUCAGUAAAACUGGGCUCCCAGUUGUAUAAACUGUAAAACCAGGCGCUGAUCAGACUUGUGCAGAGAGCAGAAGCUCAAGGAGUUGGGGAUUGAUAGUUGAUGUGAGUAUGGACCAUGCAGCAUGGAGAAUGUAGAUCUCUAUCAAAUUAAGAGCUAAGUUCUCACCAGAAGUGUCAACAACUCAUCUGAAUUCCAGGAAGGUGACUUCAUUUGAAUUGCAUCCAACUUUGAACUUAAAUCAUUAGAUGAUUUUUUGAUUCCUGUCAAACGUCACUGACUCCAUCAAGACAGUUCCUCCUAGUGCAUAGGCUCUCCCAGUAUGACAUUACCCAUUGAUGCUCAGCAUUGUCACAAAGCCCUGAGACUCUUCUCACACCAGUCCUUUUUCAGGCAUAAGCUUCCUUUUUGCCAAGUAUUCUUCCUGUUCAGAAGUGUUUAUAUUUACUAAUCUUUGUGACUUGAAUUGACGUUGCAGCCUGUGGACUUGUAUGGGUUUGUUUGCACUUCAUUUAUGCACUAGGGCUGAAAAAUGCAGAUAGCUAAUGCACAGCUCUGCUAAGCUUUUCAGUGUAAUACCUCUAGCAGUCCUCAGCCACUGUAUUCUGCAGCACAGGGACUGUGUGAUAUCUUGUGUCAGUGGCUUCUGUAUAUACUAGGAUAACCAGAAACUAAGCAAAUUUUGGACAUUUAUCUGUAACCUUUAAUAAUUUGCUAUGCAUAUCCACUCAUUCUUUUGUUAUAUUAUCAAUAUUCUGCAGUGCUACUGGUUUUAAUAAGAAGCCUUUUCACUGGUUUUCUUUGUUCUAGUCAUCUAAUCUCCUAAUGGAAGUUUCUAAUUAAAUUCCUACAGCCAUUUUCAAACUGUGUUUUGAAUAACAAAGUCUUGCAAAUGCUCAAAGUAUGUCUCUCCCCCUUUCUGGAAUGCCCUACCUUCCAAAUAGCUGUGGGGAAGCGAUGCAGGUCACUGUGCAGGAGGAUUGCUGAGAACCUGUCUCAGCUGAAUAAGAGGGGUAUAAAUGGCACAUUCCCCAUACAGGGAAUAAUGCCGUGAAUUUGAGCAGAGCUUUCCAGGGCCUCACUCAUAGGCUGAAUGAACAUUGGAUGGAUGAGGAGAGAAUACGUUGUUUUAACAGAGCAAGGAGUACUUUCCUGAUAGACCUGGUGCUCCAAAAGUGUUGAGAAACCAGAGUCAGUUGUGAAAUCUGUUUCUCCAUUCAAAACACUUUGAUCUCAAUUUGAACUUUACUCACCAGGAGCAGCAAAGGAUUGAAUUACUGUAAUUAUCUGCAUUUUUCACCCACUAAUGAAGCAGAAAAAAAAAAGAAAUGUCACAGAAUGAGUUCAAAAUAGAAUUCACUGAAGAUUUUGUCUAAUUGAUCCUUUUAUUAAUCCCAAGAAAUACUGCAACUGGCUUGAGCCACAAUUUCCAGAUGGAAUGGCGGCAGUAUGUAGAGCUCUAACUAGCAAGCUGUGCUUCUCAGUUCGCACACCUGCCAGUGGUUCUCAGAAGUUUCUGCACACAAAUCUGGUCAUCCUUUGGCACGUAGCUAGAUGUUCUUUGACUGCAGACUUGAUGUGAAGGCCUCAGCCAAAUCUACCACUUUCUCCCUUUACUCUAAAGCACUGUUGGAUUUCUGCUUCUGCACACCUGGUGAGGAUAUUGUUUUGGUAAAAAUAAGAUGAGCACAGGUGGUAAUAUAAUGCACAUGGCUCCUAAAUUUAACACCAGCUUCACUUAGGGCUUAGGAGAUUUAAUCUUUUAAACAUGUUUUCAGCACUUUCUUUUUCUAUUUCUUUUUUAAAGCAAUUUAAUUAGUAGACAAAAACCAAUAGAAAGUUCAUGCAGUUUAGAUUCAGAUUUGUGGUCAGGAGCAUUGCACUUCAGAAAUGAUGGCUCUUUUUGCAAAAGCUUAAGUGCAUGAAUGAAAAGGUUCACACGCUUUACAGAUAUUUAUAAAUUCAGCUUUUCAUGUUGGAGAUAAUACCCAACUCAUCUAUGGCUACCCUUAGCUGAAAAGCACAAGGCCAGCUUGGUUUCCACACAGAACUGAUUUUUAGGGGUAAAGUAUUUAAACACACGAGCCUUUCUCCAGCCUUUGGGAUGACCUCUAUAUGAAGUUAGGUAGAAAUGCCUGAUACUCACAGGGUAGGCAGCAUGAGUUUAUGUCUUCGCAUCUCAUGUACUGAGAGGUUCCAGAUUUUCUACACUUGUGUAUAGCCAACAAGUACACAGAGUGAUGUGGUCAGACUGGUAUCCACAGGUUGUAAAGCUAGAAAGGCUAUUGCAUUGGAAAGGGAUAAUUAGAAACAAAUAGAAAACGCUCACCUGUGCUGUAGGCUUGCAGGAAAAACUCCAAGAAAAGCAGUCUCUGGAAAGAGACCCUUCUUUGGUGGCAGUCUUAAAUGGAGUCUAGGAGAGGUGGAGCCGCACUCCACCCCUUCCAGUCACACAGGUGAACUGCCUUCACCUGUGCUCCUGCGGCUGACUAAGUGCUCACCUCAGCUGAUCAAUUGGAGGUUCAGGCUGUGAUUCAACAGUUCCCAUGCAACUUGGCACUUUAUUGCAAGCAUACAACAUCACUGUUGUCAAAAUUAAAUCCCAUGUAAAAUCAUGAAAAGUGGGAUUCUAGUUCAUAACAUUACUGAGAGAAAGCAUGCCUGCAUCUCUGCUUCCUCAAAAUUCACCACUGAGGCUUCUGUCCAGCACAACACCUAAGAAGCUCCACUUUUGUUUGUUUGUUUAACAAUUCAGUAGGCUCUUUAAAAGUGAAUUUUAUAACCUACUAGAAAAAAAAUAAGCCUUCUAGGAGUGCUAGUUGAAAAACACUGUGAGUCUACAGGUCUUUUUUAUUCUAUUUAACUCCUGUAACCAUUAGUCUAGAAUAUUUUUUCUGAACUUGAAACUUGUAUUUCCAGACAACUUUAUGAAGAAAACUUAGAAAAUGCCAAUAUUUUUUUAAGAGGAAGGAAAGAUAGAAAAGCUUACCAUUCUCCAGCAUGUGUGUGAAUAAUUUUUCUUACCAAUUUUCUAAAUAAAAGGACCAGUUAUCUCAGUGGAGGAGACUUUCCACUACAGAAAACUGAUUGCCUCAUAGGCUGUGUAGAUUUCAGGUCAGACAAUACUUUGCCUGUAAACUUGAAGCUCAGAUGACAGAUGGAAACCAGAUAAGGUGAGUGUGCUGAUCACUACGAAGAGAAGGGUCUCUGUAAUUUGCAUCUUGUCUUCCAGUAACAUUUGCUCCAUUACUGCCUUCCCAUUUACCUGAGCUUUAAGCACAGUUAAAUGAGGCCUGAACUUACAUGAUCUUUAUUUUUUCAAGUGCAAUACUUCUGUUUAGCUGCAUUUUAAUUCUAUGCUUAACCAAAUACCAACACUUCAGGAAAGAUGUUCAUACAGUUUUUCUCUCUUAAAUUUCCCCGCUGAAUCUUCUGUCCAACACAGCACCCUAGCAUCUGUACUUUUACUUUUUAGUACUGCAAAACCUCAAGUUCUUCACAUGUCUCUUGGAUGACCCCACUCCAAACCACGGUCUUAGAAAUAGCUCCUCUUUCCUGAAGUCAUGGGCAACUUUCUAGGUACUUAGCCUGUUCUCCUUGAGAAAGAUGCCUGUGGGGCUUCUAGUCUUUCUGAAGAGGCCACAUGCCCCAGGCACUGCAGGGUUAGGUUGACAUUAGCUAGUCUGAUCAAAUAUUUACUUGCAUCUUUCCUAUUUUUAAAUUGUCUGUCUUGUUUACUCUCCUUUGUCCCUGCAUAUCACGUUUCUGUCCUCCCUGCUCUAUUAACAUGUAAUCUUUCCAUUCUAUGUCCAAUAAUAAAGCACAUUUGUGAUUAAUUAUCAGAAAGACACUUUGAUAAUAAACAUAAAUGACAUUGCUAGUGCAUAGGUGUGUAAGUAUUGUUCUUAUGAGGUGCCCACCACACAAUAUAAAACAUUCUCUAUAGCCAAAGGCUCUUGCAACUGGGCACUGAGAGGCCAAUGUACAGCUGACCUCAGGUUGUAGAGUUGGAUCAUUUCCUUACAUAAAGAUUUACAGAAGUGAAAGACAGGGAGGCUAAAGGACAGGCAACUGUGAAAAUCUAAUUUUCCUUCCUCACAUAUUAUCUUCACUGGGUUGCUGUAAAUUUCAGCUGGCCAGGAGAUGAUCUUGACUUUUAUACAGUGUAAGUGGUGCUGGAUACUUGUGGUGUACAUGACAGCAAAAUAUUGAAUGAAAUGCUUCAGAACAAACCCAUUUUGGUAAGCUACAAUAAUGUUUAUCUACAUGUGGUCUUUAAACAGGUUUAUUUAAAUUAGAAUAAGUUACUAUUGAGAACCUUUCAUAUUUUCCCUUUCUUCUUGAAUAGAAAAAGCUUCGCAUUAAAAAAAUCUACACUUGAUUGCAAGUGAAAGACAUUCAUCACCUGUGGACUUGAGAUCUUAUGCCUCCAAGGAGGAGAACAGAGAAAACUGGUUUCAGCUAAUACGUCUAUGAUCUUAUGGUGUAUCUUACAAUCAAUCUCUGUCUGUACAUUUAACAGAAAGUACAAAAAAAUCUCAACCUUUCUCUGAGGAAGUGAAACCUCUUGUCUUGGGGAUCUUUACAAUCUAGUAUACUAAUCAGCUAGUACAGUUUCCCAUAUGCCAAGGAAAAAACAUGUUUUGGUACUUAUACAAGCUACAUCCAGCUCAAAACGGAAGCCUUUUUUCCAGUGGCAAUUAAUGAGAAUCAUUAUUUAGAAAUUAAAAUGGUAAUGGUCUUCUCACAUGAGAGUAAACUAACAAAAUUUAUAGAAAAGAGCUCAUAAAGGCAAGUAAAAGCAUUUGUGGGUCUCUAAGUCACAUCACCCACCUAAUACAUAAGCAGGUAUUUGCCUAGGCAGGAAUGAGCUGCAUUGAUUCAUUUAAUUUGGUACACAUGUGCUUAAGAACCAAAGCACUCAUGUUUCCAUGAACCUCAUAAUCUUGUGUUCUCCUUAUCAGUAGCUUUGUUAAUUUGUCAUCAAUAAAUCAGUAUAUUCAUUUUGUCUUUGUUUGCACAUGCUUAUUACUUUUUCAAAUGUACCAGUACAGCAAUGACUUAAGAACCCAAUGAAUAGCCAGCAUAUUUUUAAUCUAUAGAAAACAGUGUAUUCUUUAUGCUUCUUGAGUCAUACUCAUAGCAAUGUAGGUGAGAUUCAACAUAAUUUCUCCAAAUUAAAAACUAUGCGCAAAGUAUAUUUGUUUUCAUCUUUCCCUGUCUCAGUGAGUGCUAACUAUAGUAAUACCAUUUAAAGAGAGAAUUAAACUCAUUUUUCUCAAGUAACCUGGUUGUUUUUUUUUCUAAUGAUUGUGUGACACUUUACAAGUCUUACAAAUACCCAAGUGUAACAAUAAAGCUUCUCUGUGUCAAAGACACCUAAGAACAUACAAGAGUUUGGUAGGCUUUUAAACUUGGUCUGAUAAGCAAUUCAUGAAUAUUGUAUCUAGAGUAUGCUCCUCACCGUUAGCUGAGUUGAUUUGUUGAACAGAUGUCCAGUUUUAUGCAUCUGAAUUGAAAGUAAACUUCAUUUGUUUGAGAAGAGGGAAGAAAGCAUCAUUCAGAAGAAGAGACUUUGCUUUUGAAAUCAUUCUCUUUCUUUUAACAUAUACAGAACAUUCAGUUAUUUGAAGUCUGGUUCCGAAUAUAACAGGUUUUAUCUCAGAGGCGAGAAAAAACAUGGUAAUUUAAAAAUAAAUAAAUAAAUGAAACACAUAAAAACUGAACAACCAAAACAAAAUACAUUUUAAACUGCUUCCAAGUGUUUUGAGCCGCUUGGGCGUAGGCGGUACCUACAUUUGGGGUCUAAUGGAGAGUCAAGUCUAUUUACAUUGUGUCUUUUCUUUUUCUCUGGUUUUGUUUUAUGACCGUAAUUUGUAUCUACCUCACUAAACAAACAUAUAUUCUCACAAACACUUUCCUUUUGCAUUUCAUGGCUGUAGCUUAUCACUCUUCUUAUUCGCUGGCUCACUAAUUCAUUGACUUCUUAAAAAGUUGGAAAAGUUGGAAUAAAAAAUAAAGUCUUGCUCUCAUCAAACAACUUUGAGAAACUCACUGGGAAUUUUCAAAAGUGAGUUUUCAAAUUUUCAAAAGAAAAUUACCCAGUUUGCAUUAUAUGUCUAAGGGUUUUGUGAGAUUAACUGUCUUAUUCAGCUUUCAAAAUCCUGCCUUGCAGACUCAAUAUCCCAAUCCAGUAUGACAAAGAGGAAGAAAGUCAAAGAUUCCCAUGUCCAAGAUUAGGAUGUAUCAUCUAAAUCUGUGUCAUCCAUGGUCAGGCACCUUGAGAUGGCUGUUGGAACAGAUCUCACAGAAUUACUGCGUUCCUGAAGCCACUCAGAGUAAUGCACUAACAGCACAGCAGGGCAGUUUGUUCCUAAGCCUUUUACUGAGGCUGACCUCUUGCUGAGCAUGGGGCUUUAUAAAUAGUAAAUUUUUGAGUUUAUUGGACAUGGAUGGCUCUCUUUCUCACCUAUACUUGCAGCUCUCAGCAGCUCAAAUUUUGGUGUAUUUUGAUCUACCUGAUGGGUAAAAGAAAACAGCCCUUAGAAGGCCUGAACUGCAAUCCUGCCUAUGAGUAGCUACUUGUGAGAAUAAGGUUUUCAGGCAGGGAAGGGGGGAGGCAAAGGCAAACUCUUCCAAACAGGUUUACAAUAGAGAUACAGCGCACCAUAUUAUCUAACAACGCUCUGCCUUUUCACUCAAGUAGACAGACAUUAAGGUGCAUUAGUCCUAUCAUUUGUAUGUCUGUAAAUAUCAAUAAAGUAUGUUAUUUGGCAUUCACAUUUACACAAUGAGGAUGAGGACUAUCCUUUUCAGGAAAUUUCACUGAGCCAUCCACAAACAAAAGCUCCGUAAUUUAAUCUUUCAAAAGCUCAAUAAUGCUAAGUUCAAAAUUGCAGGUUUUAAACUAAUGUACCCGAUAAGUAAUGAUGACAGAAUUUAAAAGGUCCAUUAUUUGGUAAUCUAAUAUUCCCAAUCCCAGUUAUCUGUCAAAGAGAAUACUCUCCCUUAAACAGCGCUAAUGUGUUCACAUCUACAUUAAUCUCUUAGGGAGAAAAGAAGCAUUCUUUACAGGCUUUAUCUGUUUCCAAAUGUCUGACUCCACAAGGAGCCAUUUCGCACUGCUGAUGAGGCUAUGUAAAUGACUCAAAUGUCUUUGUACGAUAGGUGCUAUUUCUUACGGAUACAUGUGAUACCAAGAGGCACUCCCCAGCCAGCCAACCUUCCGUGCUCAUCUGCGUGCUGUACCAGGUGCCUUUGAAUCCUCUGCUGCUUCUCCACUCCAAAACAGACAUUUCUAGUUUGCUCCUCACCUGCUUUUCAUGCACAAUACGCUGUUUUUCCAUGCAGCACAACUUUCUUCUUUUGUUGUAUCAUCUCCCAGCCAUGCUGCAAAGAUCCCUAAGGCUGUGGAAUGAGUGUGACUAGUUCAGAAGGGGAAAGCAUAUAGGAAACACACCUUUCUUUUUGGGAAAUUGCUGUGGCAGUGUAUGCAAUAGUUAGGGUCCUAGGGUGGCACCGGGAAAUGGGGUCAUUGUGUGUUUUCCUUGUUCUUCUAGGCAAGGUUCCUUCCUCUCCAAAAAUCUUCUCUAGAAAUUUCUCAGCUUACAACUCAGAUCUUUAAACUUCAUUUCUACAGGAGGCUUUGGCCUCAGUAAGCCUGAUUCUGGCCUCCAUUCUAGAUUCUACUCCAUUCUAAUUCAAGACUUUCUGAAAUGCGUGUGCAAUAGAAUAGUCACACUUUCAAGAACAUGGUACUUUUUCCUGGCUGAGGUUUUCAAAACACUUGCUUAAAUGGAAUACAGAUUUCUUUUUGGGGUUUCUGCUAUACUUUGACCAUUCAGAACCAGACAGUGUGAAAUUCCCACCUGAUAUGUUGUAUUUGAUUGCCACAGGUAAACUGAUUCUUAUCUACAAAAAGAAAUCUGCAAGCAUGAAAAUGUCUUCCUAGGAAAUGUUUAAAAGAACACAUAUUGAAGAGCCUUUGUAAUAUCAGUAAUUACAAGAGAAUGUGUCAGACACUAUGUUAGGAACUUUCAAUUCAAAAUACUACCCAGCAAUUAAUUUCUGCCUUUAAUUACGUUAUUAAAUUAAGCUUUUCUUUCCAUAUAUUGUUUUGCUGCUUCUUUGGGUGCUUUAUAAAAGCUCUUUUCAAUGCAUUUACUGUGAUUCAUUCCGUCAUGAAAUAUCAGGCCUUGCUCUGGUUAAGCUCAGCUAACCAUGAACUCAGACAUACAGAUGCUAUCAUAUUUUACGGUGAUCUUUCUAUCAUUUUAACUGAUGAUAACCAGUAUCCAAAACUCAGCCAAAAAUUUGUUCCAGGCCU